rnacentral:rRNA from 1 species
AGUGAACGCUGGCGGCAGGCCUAACACAUGCAAGUCGAGCGGCAGCGCGGGGGCAACCCUGGCGGCGAGCGGCGGACGGGUGAGGAAUACAUCGGAAUCUGCCUUGUUGUGGGGGAUAACGUAGGGAAACUUACGCUAAUACCGCAUGAGACCGUAAGGUGAAAGUGGGGGAUCGCAAGACCUCACGCGACAAGAUGAGCCGAUGUCGGAUUAGCUAGUUGGUGAGGUAAAGGCUCACCAAGGCAACGAUCCGUAGCUGGUCUGAGAGGAUGAUCAGCCACACUGGGACUGAGACACGGCCCAGACUCCUACGGGAGGCAGCAGUGGGGAAUAUUGGACAAUGGGCGCAAGCCUGAUCCAGCCAUGCCGCGUGUGUGAAGAAGGCC